rnacentral:rRNA from 1 species
UACGAAGGGGGCUAGCGUUGUUCGGAUUUACUGGGCGUAAAGGGCGCGUAGGCGGUUUUGUAAGUCAGGCGUGAAAGCCCCGGGCUCAACCCGGGAAUUGCGCUUGAUACUGCGGAACUUGAAUCCAGGAGAGGAUGGCGGAAUUCCCAGUGUAGAGGUGAAAUUCGUAGAUAUUGGGAAGAACACCAGUGGCGAAGGCGGCCAUCUGGCCUGGAAUUGACGCUGAGGCGCGAAAGCGUGGGGAGCAAACAGG